GUUUUAGCUUUGAGCCCGUUUUACUGGGUGAUUUAGCUUACCAGCGUACCUAGAUGUUUCUUGGUAUUUAGAUAAGAAAUGGACCCUUCAAAAUUACCUAAAACAACCUUUAAAAUUAUCUAAAAUAACCUGUAAAAUUAUCUGAAAUAACCUUUAAAAUUACCUAAAAUAAUAGACAAACCACGCAUGCGUGUAUACGUAGAAAUAUUGUCAGUCUGGG